AUUGAACGCUGGCGGCAGGCCUAACACAUGCAAGUCGAGCGGAUGAAGGGAGCUUGCUCCUGGAUUCAGCGGCGGACGGGUGAGUAAUGCCUAGGAAUCUGCCUGGUAGUGGGGGAUAACGUCCGGAAACGGGCGCUAAUACCGCAUACGUCCUGAGGGAGAAAGUGGGGAUCUUCGGACCUCACGCUAUCAGAUGAGCCUAGGUCGGAUUAGCUAGUUGGUGGGGUAAAGGCCUACCAAGGCGACGAUCCGUAACUGGUCUGAGAGGAUGAUCAGUCACACUGGAACUGAGACACGGUCCAGACUCCUACGGGAGGCAGCAGUGGGGAAUAUUGGACAAUGGGCGAAGGCCUGAUCCAGCCAUGCCGCGUGUGUGAAGAAGGUCUUCGGAUUGUAAAGCACUUUAAGUUGGGAGGAAGGGCAGUAAGUUAAUACCUUGCUGUUUUGACGUUACCAACAGAAUAAGCACCGGCUAACUUCGUG
rnacentral:rRNA from 1 species